rnacentral:rRNA from 1 species
AUUGAACGCUGGCGGCCGGCCUAACACAUGCAAGUCGAGCGAGCGGCGGACGGGUGAGUAAUGUAUGGGGACUGCCCGAUAGAGGGGGAUAACUACUGGAAACGGUGGCUAAUGCCGCAUACGAUCGGAUAACCCAUAUGGGAUUAGCUAGUAGGUGGGGUAAAGGCUCACCUAGGCGACGCGCUCUAGCUGGUCUGAGAGGAUGAUCGGCCACACUGGGACUGAGACACGGCCCAGACUCCUACGGAGGCAGCAGUGGGGAAUAUUGCACUAUGGGCGCAAGCCUGAUGCAGCCAUGCCGCGUGUAUGAAGAAGGCCUUAGGGUUGUAAAUUACUUUCGGCGGGGAGGCGUUACCCGCAGAAUAAGCCCCGGCUAACUCCGUGCCAGCAGCCGCGGUAAUUC